GUAAGUUCCGACCUGCACGAAUGGUGUAACCAUGGCCACGCUGUCUCCACCCGAGACUCAGUGAAAUUGAAAUCGCAGUGAAGAUGCUGUGUACCCGCACCUAGACGGAAAGACCCCGUGAACCUUUACUACAGCUUGGCACUGAACAUUGAACCUACAUGUGUAGGAUAGGUGGGAGGCUUUGAAGCACAGUCGCUAGAUUGUGUGGAGCCGUCCUUGAAAUACCACCCUUGUAUGUUUGAUGUUCUAACAUUGGUCCCUUAUCGGGAUUGUGGACAGUGUCUGGUGGGUAGUUUGACUGGGGCGGUCUCCUCCUAAAGAGUAACGGAGGAGUGCAAAGGUUGGCUCAGCACGGAUGGAAACCGUGUUUUAGAGUGCAAGAGCAUAAGCCAGCUUUACUGCGAGUCCGACAGGACGAGCAGUCUCGAAAGAGGGCUCUAGUGAUCCUGCGAUCGCGUGUGGAAGCGUCGUAGCUCAUCGGAUAAAAGGUACUCCGGGGAUAACAGGCUUAUCGCUCCCGAGCGUCCAUAGCGGCGGAGCGGUUUGGCACCUCGAUGUCGGCUCAUCGCAUCCUGGGGCUGAAGGCGGUCCCAAGGGUUAGGCUGUUCGCCUAUUAAAGCGGUACGCGAGCUGGGUUCAGAACGUCG
rnacentral:rRNA from 1 species